rnacentral:rRNA from 2 species
UUGAUUGGUGCUUGCAUCAUGAUUUACAUUUGAGUGAGUGGCGAACUGGUGAGUAACACGUGGGAAACCUGCCCAGAAGCGGGGGAUAACACCUGGAAACAGAUGCUAAUACCGCAUAACAACUUGGACCGCAUGGUCCGAGUUUGAAAGAUGGCUUCGGCUAUCACUUUUGGAUGGUCCCGCGGCGUAUUAGCUAGAUGGUGGGGUAACGGCUCACCAUGGCAAUGAUACGUAGCCGACCUGAGAGGGUAAUCGGCCACAUUGGGACUGAGACACGGCCCAAACUCCUACGGGAGGCAGCAGUAGGGAAUCUUCCACAAUGGACGAAAGUCUGAUGGAGCAACGCCGCGUGAGUGAAGAAGGGUUUCGGCUCGUAAAACUCUGUUGUUAAAGAAGAACAUAUCUGAGAGUAACUGUUCAGGUAUUGACGGUAUUUAACCAGAAAGCCACGGCUAACUACGUGCCAGCAGCCGCGGUAAUACGUAGGUGGCAAGCGUUGUCCGGAUUUAUUGGGCGUAAAGCGAGCGCAGGCGGUUUUUUAAGUCUGAUGUGAAAGCCUUCGGCUCAACCGAAGAAGUGCAUCGGAAACUGGGAAACUUGAGUGCAGAAGAGGACAGUGGAACUCCAUGUGUAGCGGUGAAAUGCGUAGAUAUAUGGAAGAACACCAGUGGCGAAGGCGGCUGUCUGGUCUGUAACUGACGCUGAGGCUCGAAAGUAUGGGUAGCAAACAGGAUUAGAUACCCUGGUAGUCCAUACCGUAAACGAUGAAUGCUAAGUGUUGGAGGGUUUCCGCCCUUCAGUGCUGCAGCUAACGCAUUAAGCAUUCCGCCUGGGGAGUACGGCCGCAAGGCUGAAACUCAAAGGAAUUGACGGGGCCCGCACAAGCGGUGGAGCAUGUGGUUUAAUUCGAAGCUACGCGAAGAACCUUACCAGGUCUUGACAUACUAUGCAAAUCUAAGAGAUUAGACGUUCCCUUCGGGGACAUGGAUACAGGUGGUGCAUGGUUGUCGUCAGCUCGUGUCGUGAGAUGUUGGGUUAAGUCCCGCAACGAGCGCAACCCUUAUUAUCAGUUGCCAGCAUUAAGUUGGGCACUCUGGUGAGACUGCCGGUGACAAACCGGAGGAAGGUGGGGAUGACGUCAAAUCAUCAUGCCCCUUAUGACCUGGGCUACACACGUGCUACAAUGGAUGGUACAACGAGUUGCGAACUCGCGAGAGUAAGCUAAUCUCUUAAAGCCAUUCUCAGUUCGGAUUGUAGGCUGCAACUCGCCUACAUGAAGUCGGAAUCGCUAGUAAUCGCGGAUCAGCAUGCCGCGGUGAAUACGUUCCCGGGCCUUGUACACACCGCCCGUCACACCAUGAGAGUUUGUAA